CCACUCACCUCUGGCUAACUGGACUGACUGACUCUGCAGGUUUACCUCUGGAGCAGUACUCACUGCUGCUCUCUCUGGUUCCUCUGGUCUGUAACACAUAAAGAUUCAAAUGAGGGACCAAACUAUCGUAAGACUACCUCUUUUUACCUACCCAAGAAAACCCCUUCAUCUCACUCUAAAACUCAUGUAAAGCAAGCAAAGGAAAGCUGGACAGAACACUUUCGGCGGCAGGUUCGGCGGCCGAAUGUCCUCUCCAGAGACGAAACUCAAGCACCUUCGGCGGCCGAAUCUCAAGCUUCGGCGGCCGAACCCUUUCGGGGGCAAGUUUCGGGGGCCAAAACAUACUCCAGAGACGAAAGUCUCUAACCUUCGGCGGCACCUUCGGCGGCCGAAGUCCCCAAACAGAGCCGAACAUGCAAAACUCACGGGGGCAAGCUGUGGCAGCCUAAGCUACCAUGCAGGAGGUUCGGCGGCCGAAUGAACUUUCGGCUGCCGAACCUGAGUUCAUCCAGAACUCAGUUUCAA
rnacentral:lncRNA from 1 species